rnacentral:lncRNA from 1 species
AACAUUAAAGUUAUCAAAAGCUACAUUUUUGUGAUGGCACUCAUUUAUCUGAUUAUUUCCUUAAUGGUAAAAUAAAUAUGACUGGAUGGUCUCAAAAUAUUAUACUCAUGUGUUCAUUGUGGCAUUUUAUAGAACUAACACACAUUAUAGAUUUUAAAAGUUAGUUAUGUUUGUCAGUGCUCAUAUUUUGAAUAUUCUACUGGGAAACAGUUUUACUAUCAAAGUUCCACCAACUAUUUGCUUAGUAUUUUGAAAUAUUUUGUGAAUGUUCGUAUUAGCAUUAGGAGACUACCAACGGUUCAGAGCAUGUAGUUUACCCAUUUUGAUUAUUUUUACUUUGUGAAAGGUUUUAGGAGAUAAGUUACAUUUCUUUUAGUAUUUUUUUCCUAUAAUAGAAAGAAUCUUAAUUACUGAAAAUAUUCACACUUGUAAAUUAAAGGUAAACAUAAACUGAAAGUGUCAAUACAUAUAAAAUAUUUUAAUUAUAAUAAACCUUACUCAGAAUACUUUCAGAAUUUGGAUUACAGUAAUAUUAGAAGUGGAUUUGUUGCCCUAAUAUAUAAAUGCAU